UCAUCGUGUUCUUUUCUCCUUCUUCAAACUUUCACACUUUCAGCUUCAUUAUCCAUCGAGAUCAAUUUCCACCACUUUCCAUCUCAUCCACAUUCCACUUCCCUUCCGCCAUAAUCAGCUCUACACGGCCAUUAGACGCAUCCUCGUUGGCCAACAUCGCGGUCCCAAAAUUUCGUUUCCGGGCCUAGAGAACGUUGUUUCAUCGUCUUUGAACGCGACCACGGACCGUCUCGUACAGUCGCCGGAUGCAGAGCAUUAUUCAUGACUGAGGACAGAAUCGUCACUGAAGAGGCCAUCGAGCCUGUCGCGUGUCUUGGCCGCAUGUAAACCGGAAGAACACGCUCAGCUGGCCACUGUCCUGCAGCGUGUUCUUCGUCUGCUGCUGUUGUUGUUUCGUCGACAGGACGGAACCAUUUCAAUGCGUUUUAAAAAACACACGCGUGCUGGCGAGCGGAAUACAGAGUGUUACAAAAGGAUCUGUAACUUUAGCGACUUAUGGUAGAUAUUCAUCGAGUGAAACGAAAAAUGCUUAAUCGAGAUAACUAUUCAACUAUAUAUCCUGUAAUAUAAAUACAAUAGAUAAGAUACUAGUACCAGUAUUGAUACCAAUAUCAAUGUGUCCUUCGAUACUGAAGUUAACUGCAAUGUCAGCGAAACGCAGCCAACCUUUUUUUCUUGCACAUGACUUACACCUGAGAGCUGCAAUAUCUUACGCAGCAGUGUUAACCAUAACAAUGCUAAGUAUAACAAUGUCAAAUGCGACAAUCGGAGAUAAGAGAAGAUUAAGGUUCUCAUUCUCUAAGAUAAAUUGAAGAAUGGCAAAACGUCGAAUCUCCAAGUCAGAAUGGAACAUCUUUUUAAAGUACACCAUUAAUAGCAAUCUCGGUUAAAACGAAGACAAAGUUAUUUAUUUUCGACAAGCAUCGAUUUCGUGCACAAUUUUCACGACGCGGCCAAUAGACUUUCCUGAUGAUCAAUUUUCAGGAUCAAUUUCGUACCGUUGAAACACACACGACUAACGGCUUAGACAUCUCUUUUUCCUUCCGCAUUGUCCUUGCUUGAGACUGAAGCAAAGAGUUUAAGGGUAAAAAGGAACACUUAAAAAAAAUAAAAACGUUGAAGUUAUCACGAUUUAAGCUAGAACUUAUUUUAUAGUUACAGAUCGUGUUUUUCACUGUGUCGGUGUACUAUCGGCAUCGCGUAGAAUUCGUUAUAAAACUACCCGCAAUAAUAAUGAAUCAUGGAAAAGUUUUCCAAUCGGAAAUUUCAUUUACAUUUACGUGUCUCUAGGAAAGAUGUUCAGCCACUUAUUUGCUUUGGCGAACGAUGGUUAUAAAUCGUUUCGCACGGCAAGGAGGACAGUUCAGCGAGGGGAAAACUCGACAACAACGUGCUCUGGGACUCGAAACAGGAAUUAUGGAAGUUUGAGACGAAGAUUUUACAUUUUAAGUACGAGUCUAGUUGAAUGUUUCCACCAAAAUUCUCGGGACUCUUGGCCGAGCGAAAAGGGUCACUGAAUAAAAUUUAAUCAAACUUGUUGAGGCAACCGGCUAACGAAGUUGAGAUGCUGAUUAAGAACGACUUUUCCUUUGAAAGCGUUAACUUUUACCUUAUGGUUAAAAAUGUGUACACAGUACCCGUAGGAAGCGGGGCGACGUCUAAACUGAUAUUUCUGGCACCCUAUUGUGAAAAUGUGGCAGAGGUAUAGAGAUUUUCUAGGUCAGUGGCCUACAUGUAUGACACUGGAACUAAUUGGGAGCUCUGCAGAUAUCGAACUACUGGGAAGAGAAACGAAAGAAAAAUGAAAGAAAAGUAUACAUGUACACGAUGAACACACAUGUACAAGAAACCAACGACCAGGCCGAAUAUUCGAUCGAACUGGAGGAAAAUUGGCUGUCUCCGUUGACAGAAAAUUGCAAACGAACUUCCGACUUGUGGCGAAAAAGAACCGGCAAUGUUAAACUUCGCUUUCAGUGGAAAGUUAUCGUGCAAAAACAUCGAACGUUCCUCCGUGAGCUAAAAAUAUCGAUGAAAGCAGACGUUUACGCGUUCGAUCGGUUGCCUGUUUGUAAAAUUCAUGGCAUAAACUCGUUUUAAACACGGCCGAGUUUGAUCGAGCUUCCAAACGACUAUCGUUCUAUUCCUCGUUUCGUUGUAACCCGUCAAUUGGGUCGUCCCUUAACCAGAAACUUCUCCGAUCAGGCAAUUAAAAGUUAGUAAAGACAAAUCAAUUUCAGUUAUGUUAUGCAGAAAACAUUUGUUAUGUCACUUUUCUUCCAGAGUACAUAACACCGCUUUUAUCCGGCCCCUUUGUUCACGUUUAAUUGACACUUGUUAAUUAGCAAUUACGUAGGUACGUUACGUUUCUUUUCAUUCUUUUUUUUUUUGUUACAACCACAUCGAGGCACGAUUCUGUAAUUAAACAUCGGUGAAGCGAUUAUUCGUUGCAUUAUGAUCAUUGAGCCAAGGACAGAGUAAUUAAUGACUUGCAGCUGGUUCUCUUUAUUUUCGAACGAGUCUGUAUACGUCGAUGCUUUUUGAGUGAAUUUACCAUUAAAUUUACUAUGCAAUAAAGCGAUUGAAAUAACUGGUUAUUUCAAAUUCUUAUCUUUUAUCUUUGUUCUAAUUAAAAUCUCUUAAAAUUAAAACGUUCGAAUUUCUUUCACCAUCUAGGAGGGAAAAUAGAAGCGAUGGUAAUCUAUGAAGGAAACCUCGUAGACGUAUCGAACGAUCAUAGGGAAAACUCAGGUGGACGGUAAUGAACGGGUGCAACGUAUAUAGUUGCGUAUUGCUUGUUGUGGUACUUGUUCGAACAACUGGAGAUUGGAUCGACACGCUUCGCGCAGCGUGAAAUGCAAACGCGGGGAUAUAAAACAGCGGCGCGAUACAGUAUGCCACCGCGGCAGAAAAAACCGAAAGGAGAAAAGGGAAAUGCGAUCUCGACAUUGCGAAGUCGGUCGUAAAAAUGAGUGACGCGUCGGAAACUUGUACGCCGGAGUGCGGAUUCUCCGCGCGAGCUCUUGGCUUACGAGCUAUGAAGCAUACAUUAGAAAUCUCUUUACAAAAGUCUACUGUAUAGUAGAACAAUAAACAUUUCUAUACAAUGUUAGUUCAAAUUCUCUGAAAUAUCACUGUUUAUUAAAUGAAAACUUCUGCACACCGUUGUACAUUGUUAACUUCAGUACUCAUAUAGCUGAUGAUAUUUGGUACAAAUUGCACGCUCUCCAUAGCUUCUAUUUUCUACUCUAAAAAUAUUUUAUAAUAUAUUUACUUAAUUCAUAAUAUAUCUAUUUCAUUUUCUAUUAAAAAGUAAAAUUUGUCUAACUUUUCCAAUACAUGUAAUGCGUAAGUAAAUUGAAAUACAGAUAUUUCAUGUUACAAAUAAAUACAUUCUAGUAUCGGGGAAAAACCCUGGGUAAUUAAGAAGAUCUACUUGACCAUGGGACAUGUGCUUGCUAGGUAUACCGGAGCCAGGGCGUAAAAGGUAACCGUGAAUGAGUUGGGGAGCUUUUAGUGUUGCCAGCGUGGUCGGAGGGUGUUGUCCUCGUUGGGAGUGGUGUUGUCAGCGUUGUCAAGGAGUGUGGUCGACGUGAAAGAGAGUCGUUGUGACGAGAGGAGAUAGUGACGAAUGAUGGCUGCAUGCAUAUAGACU